AGCGAACGCUGGCGGCAGGCUUAACACAUGCAAGUCGAGCGCCCCGCCAGGGGAGCGGCAGACGGGUGAGUAACACGUGGGAACGUACCCUUUGGUUCGGAACAACCCAGGGAAACUUGGGCUAAUACCGGAUAAGUCCGCGAGGAGAAAGAUUUAUCGCCGAAGGAUCGGCCCGCGUCUGAUUAGCUAGUUGGUGUGGUAACGGCGCACCAAGGCGACGAUCAGUAGCUGGUCUGAGGGGAUGAUCAGCCACACUGGGACUGAGACACGGCCCAGACUCCUACGGGAGGCAGCAGUGGGGAAUAUUGGACAAUGGGGGCAACCCUGAUCCAGCCAUGCCGCGUGAGUGAUGAAGGCCCUAGGGUUGUAAAGCUCUUUCGGUGGGGAAGAUAAUGACGGUACCCACAGAAGAAGCCCCGGCUAACUUCGUG
rnacentral:rRNA from 1 species